GGGGGAAUAUUGCACAAUGGAGGGAACUCUGAUGCAGCGACGCCGCGUGAACGAAGAAGGCCUUCGAGUCGGAAAGUUCUUUUAAGUGGGAAGAUAAUGACGGUACCAUAAGAAAAAGCCCCGGCUAACUACGUGCCAGCAGCCGCGGUAAUACGUAGGGGGCUAGCGUUGUCCGGAAUCACUGGGCGUAAAGGGUUCGCAGGCGGAAAUGCAAGUCAGGUGUAAAAGGCAGUAGCUUAACUACUGUAAGCAUUUGAAACUGCAUAUCUUGAGAAGAGUAGAGGUAAGUGGAAUUUUUAGUGUAGCGGUGAAAUGCGUAGAUAUUAAAAAGAAUACCGGUGGCGAAGGCGACUUACUGGGCUAAUUCUGACGCUAGGGACCGAAAGCGUGGGUAGCAAACAGG
rnacentral:rRNA from 1 species